rnacentral:rRNA from 1 species
CGAGCGAAUGAUGAAGAAGCUUGCUUCUUCUGAUUUAGCGGCGGACGGGUGAGUAACACGUGGGCAACCUACCUAGUAGAUUGGGAUAACUCCGGGAAACCGGGGCUAAUACCGAAUAAUCCAUUUUGUCACAUGGCAAAAUGCUGAAAGGCGGUUUCGGCUGUCACUACUAGAUGGGCCCGCGGUGCAUUAGCUAGUUGGUGGGGUAACGGCCUACCAAGGCAACGAUGCAUAGCCGACCUGAGAGGGUGAUCGGCCACAUUGGGACUGAGACACGGCCCAAACUCCUACGGGAGGCAGCAGUAGGGAAUCUUCCACAAUGGACGAAAGUCUGAUGGAGCAACGCCGCGUGAGUGAUGAAGGUUUUCGGAUCGUAAAACUCUGUUGUAAGGGAAGAACAAGUACGUUAGUAACUGAACGUACCUUGACGGUACCUUAUUAGAAAGCCACGGCUAACUACGUGCCAGCAGCCGCGGUAAUACGUAGGUGGCAAGCGUUGUCCGGAUUUAUUGGGCGUAAAGCGCGCGCAGGUGGUUUCUUAAGUCUGAUGUGAAAGCCCACGGCUCAACCGUGGAGGGUCAUUGGAAACUGGGAGACUUGAGUGCAGAAGAGGAAAGUGGAAUUCCAAGUGUAGCGGUGAAAUGCGUAGAGAUUUGGAGGAACACCAGUGGCGAAGGCGACUUUCUGGUCUGUAACUGACACUGAGGCGCGAAAGCGUGGGGAGCAAACAGGAUUAGAUACCCUGGUAGUCCACGCCGUAAACGAUGAGUGCUAAGUGUUAG